rnacentral:rRNA from 1 species
UAACGCGUGGGUAACCUGCCUCAUACAGGGGGAUAACAGUUAGAAAUGACUGCUAAAACCGCAUAAGCGCACAUUGUCGAGUGACAGAGUGUGAAAAACUCCGGUGGUAUGAGAUGGACCCGCGUCUGAUUAGCUAGUUGGUGAGGUAACGGCCCACCAAGGCGACGAUCAGUAGCCGGCCUGAGAGGGCGACCGGCCACAUUGGGACUGAGACACGGCCCAAACUCCUACGGGAGGCAGCAGUGGGGAAUAUUGCACAAUGGGGGAAACCCUGAUGCAGCGACGCCGCGUGAGUGAAGAAGUAUUUCGGUAUGUAAAGCUCUAUCAGCAGGGGAGAAGAAAGACGGUACCUGACUAAGAAGCCCCGGCUAACUACGUGCCAGCAGCCGCGGUAAUACGUAGGGGGCAAGCGUUAUCCGGAUUUACUGGGUGUAAAGGGAGCGUAGACGGCUGUGCAAGUCUGAAGUGAAAGCCCAGGGCUCAACCCUGGGACUGCUUUGGAAACUGUGGAGCUAGAGUGCUGGAGAGGUAAGUGGAAUUCCUAGUGUAGCGGUGAAAUGCGUAGAUAUUAGGAGGAACACCAGUGGCGAAGGCGGCUUACUGGACAGUAACUGACGUUGAGGCUCGAAAGCGUGGGGAGCAAACAGGAUUAGAUACCCUGGUAGUCCACGCGGUAAACGAUGAAUACUAGGUGU